UACCAGCACCCCGAGUGGUCGGGACGUUUAUUGGGCCUAAAGCAUCCGUAGCCGGUUCUACAAGUCUUCCGUUAAAUCCAACUGCUUAACAGGUGGGCUGCGGAAGAUACUAUAGAGCUGGGAGGCGGGAGAGGCAAGCGGUACUCGAUGGGUAGGGGUAAAAUCCGUUGAUCCAUUGAAGACCACCAGUGGCGAAGGCGGCUUGCCAGAACGCGCUCGACGGUGAGGGAUGAAAGCUGGGGGAGCAACCGG
rnacentral:rRNA from 1 species